CACGUAGGGUGCGAGCGUUGUCCGGAAUUAUUGGGCGUAAAGAGCUCGUAGGCGGUUUGUCACGUCUGCUGUGAAAACUGGAGGCUCAACCUCCAGCCUGCAGUGGGUACGGGCAGACUAGAGUGCGGUAGGGGAGAUUGGAAUUCCUGGUGUAGCGGUGGAAUGCGCAGAUAUCAGGAGGAACACCGAUGGCGAAGGCAGAUCUCUGGGCCGUAACUGACGCUGAGGAGCGAAAGCAUGGGGAGCGAACAGG
rnacentral:rRNA from 1 species